GUCCGGUCCGGUUCGGUCCAUGGGCCGCGGUCCGCGGUCCAUGGUACCAACAGUACUCCCCCCUUCCUUAGCAGGCCCGGGGGCCUGGGGCCGUCCACCCCCCCUUCGACCCCCACCUGCUCUCAUUAAAACUCCUUGGUUCUCGGGCCCCUCCUUCAUUGCUUCUCUAUAAAUAGGCUGCUCGAGAGCCUUAUUUUCCACAUCCCCUCUCCUUUCCACCAUGAGUGCUCGAGACAUCCUUGAGGAGUAUGGCCGCGAAGUGC
rnacentral:lncRNA from 1 species